rnacentral:misc_RNA from 1 species
UGAUGACAAUUGUAAGUUGAUUCUUCAAAAAUGCCUUGGAUCGGAUGGGAGCUGUCCUCUUUCUGUAUACAACUAUGCUCUACUAUCCAAAUCUAGCUUGAAGAUGCCAGUUAGAUCUGCUCUCAAGCAAAAUAGACUGAAAAAUUCCAAGCAAUUUGCUAAGAAGGCUUCUCGGAAGUUGUUUGUCCAAAAAUUUUCUUGCAAAUCUCCUGUUUACCACAAUUGUAGGAUUUUUGCAA